GACGAUUGCUUUCAGAGUCUUGUUCUGCAAGUCAAUGUCACAUUUGAGGCGUAAAAUAUAUCAUUUGUUACUGAAUUACUUUCAAAGAUUUAGGGAUGCUUCUGCAUCCAUACUGACAUGGUUGCAUCCGCGGAAUCCUCAAGGGAUAUUGGCCAUGGUAACAAUAAUUGCUUUUCUUUUGAAACGGUGCACGAAUGUGAAAUUGAGGGCUGAGAUGGCUUACAGGAGGAAAUUUUGGAGGAAUAUGAUGAGAACUGCAUUGACAUACGAAGAGUGGGCACACGCUGCGAAGAUGCUUGAUAAAGAGACACCAAAGAUGCAUGAAUCAGACCUUUAUGAUGAAGAACUAGUGAGAAAUAAACUUCAGGAGCUCCGACACCGUCGACAGGAGGG
rnacentral:misc_RNA from 1 species